rnacentral:rRNA from 1 species
UACGGAGGGUGCGAGCGUUGUCCGGAAUUAUUGGGCGUAAAGAGCUUGUAGGCGGUUUGUCGCGUCUGCCGUGAAAAUCCGGGGCUCAACCCCGGACUUGCGGUGGGUACGGGCAGACUAGAGUGUGGUAGGGGAGACUGGAAUUCCUGGUGUAGCGGUGAAAUGCGCAGAUAUCAGGAGGAACACCGAUGGCGAAGGCAGGUCUCUGGGCCACUACUGACGCUGAGAAGCGAAAGCGUGGGGAGCGAACAGG